AUUGGAUGCACCGUGCUCUGG
rnacentral:misc_RNA from 1 species